rnacentral:rRNA from 1 species
UACGUAGGGUGCAAGCGUUUGUCCGGAAUUAUUGGGCGUAAAGAGCUUGUAGGCGGUUUGUCGCGUCUGCCGUGAAAAUCCGGGGCUCAACCCCGGACUUGCGGUGGGUACGGGCAGACUAGAGUGUGGUAGGGGAGACUGGAAUUCCUGGUGUAGCGGUGAAAUGCGCAGAUAUCAGGAGGAACACCGGUGGCGAAGGCGGUGGUCUGGGCCGGCACUGACGCUGAGGAGCGAAAGCGUGGGGAGCAAACAGG